GCACGAUGAUUGCCGCGAUGGCGCCGAUCUGUCAUUUGAGAGAAAGUUUUGAAGACUUCCGGUGUUCCGACCUGGCAAUGGAGUUCACAUCUCUGGCCUCUCCAGCCUGCCGCACAGCCGAGACCCCACGUACCACUGGGACAAUUGAUGGAGCAGUCCACUCCAUGCCACCCUGGUU